AAGCUAGCAUAAAAAGCAACUCAUAGACGUCCAAAGCCAUUUCAUGUCUCUAACGGGUUCACUGGACCAUCGCAAAAUUGACCGUGGGCUGCAAUCUAAUGAAAACUUUGGAAUUAGCUAAAAAGGGAGAAAAACUAUGGACCUCUUUUUAUGAACACUCCGUCUCACAGGCAGGGAAUAUGGAGGGGGUGCAGGCAGUCCAAACUCCUCCAUGCAGUCUUCUUCCUCACUUAGGGCGUGGCUUCUCUCUCACUGGAUGAGGGUGUGGCUUCUCCCCAUGUUAGGGUGUGGCCUGUCAGCACCUUAGGACGUGGCCUCUCUGAUUUACCCAGAUUGCCAUUCUCAAAGAACAUCCUGACAACAUCAGCCUGUGGAUCUGUGAGAGCUCGCCUACCCUGAGAACCCCUGAGGCUGUGCUGUGUCUGCGCUGGUAGGCCCCCCUCCCCUCAGCAUGCUGGGUGAUUCUGCCAGAGUCUGUCACCCCGGCUGCUGCUGCCUCUCUCCACGUGUCCCACUCUAUCACUUCCUGUAAUUCUCACAUUGAACAUUAAUUUCUCAUGAAUAUUCACCUGUGUACCUGUAACCUGCUCUUAUCAGACUGGACACUCACAUACAGGAAAUGACUGACUUCAGAUCAGUUAUACUUUAUUGGAUUGUCUCCAGUUUUAACAGCUUCAAAUCUGAGAAGCCAACAUGCUGUCUCUCUAUUUAAAUGAGCUAUAAAUAUUAUGGUACAUAAAGCUGUAUAUCUUUACGCUUUGUUUGAAACACACUGCUGAGAGGGUGGUGACGUCCUCAAGUACAUACAAUCUGAGUUAAAUUGCAUACAUAUAAUCUGAGUUAAAUUGCAUACAUAUAAUCUGAGUUAAAUUACAUAUAUAUAAUCUGAGUUAAAUUACAGUCAGAUAGAAUAGAGUCUCUUGUGUUUUUCCUGAUAAAUUGUGCUCUUUUGCAUUUGUC